UGGAAAGAUAUAUAGGUGAAUAGUUUAUAAUGUUACAAUUGUUUAUAAUGUUACAUUUUUAUAAAGUUAAAUGUUUACAUCUGUGUGUGUGUGUGUGUGUGUGUGUGUGGUUCUGGGGCUUGAAUUCAGGGGCUCUCAACCACUGAGUCACUUCCCCAA
rnacentral:sRNA from 1 species